rnacentral:rRNA from 1 species
GAUGAACGCUAGCGGCAGGCUUAAUACAUGCAAGUCGAACGGCAGCAUGGGACUUCGGUCCUGAUGGCGAGUGGCGCACGGGUGAGUAACGCGUACAAAAUCUGCCUAUAACUGGGGGAAAGUCGCUGGAAACGGCGAAUAAUCCCGCAUAAGAUAUGAUUACCGCAUGGUAGACAUAUUAAAGGCUUCGGUUGGUUAUAGAUGAUUGUGCGUUCCAUUAGCUAGAUGGUGAGGUAACGGCUCACCAUGGCGACGAUGGGUAGGGGGCGUGAGAGCGUGAUCCCCCACACGGGUACUGAGACACGGACCCGACUCCUACGGGAGGCAGCAGUAAGGAAUAUUGGUCAAUGGAGGGAACUCUGAACCAGCCAUGCCGCGUGUGUGAUGAAGGCCCUUCGGGUUGUAAAGCACUUUUGUCUGGGAAGAAUGGCUUUCAUUUAUGAAAGAAGAGACGGUACCAGAAGAAUAAGCACCGGCUAACUCCG